GUACAGCCGGACAACAGGCCAAUGCCCCCGACUCUUCUCCCUGCACAAUGCUCCUGCUCCUGUCCCUCUAUUUCUACCUAACUCCCCUGCCCAAUGGCGGGAGGCCCCAGACACUGCAGGCAUGGUGGGGGCCAGGAACCUCGUUGGCUGGAGCAUGUUUCCUGGUGAUCCUGAGGCAGCGGGGCCAACACCCCAGACAUCUGGAGCCUUGGUGGUCCAGACCAAGACGGAUGCUUCCCUCAGCUACCCACCCAGGCUCUCUCUUCUGGAGCUCAUUUCCGGUCUGAGAAAGAAGGCUCUUAAUUCAACUCCUGAUACCCGAAUGACCUCAGCCUUCAAGUGACCUGGCACAACCCUCCAUGAACAGUUUAUUCAGGCGCUCUUUCCAGACUCAUUUGCUGAACCCCCCCUCCCAAAUCCCCAAGACCCCAUCAAUGCCUGGCACUGUGCCCUGAGGCACUGGGGUUUGAAGAUGAAUGAGUGAGAACCGAGAACCUGCUCACAUGAAGCUCAUAACCA
rnacentral:lncRNA from 1 species